UAGGGAAUCUUCGGCAAUGGACGAAAGUCUGACCGAGCAACGCCGCGUGAGUGAAGAAGGUUUUCGGAUCGUAAAACUCUGUUGUUCGAGAAGAACAAGGACGUUAGUAACUGAACGUCCCCUGACGGUAUCUAACCAGAAAGCCACGGCUAACUACGUGCCAGCAGCCGCGGUAAUACGUAGGUGGCAAGCGUUGUCCGGAUUUAUUGGGCGUAAAGCGAGCGCAGGCGGUUUCUUAAGUCUGAUGUGAAAGCCCCCGGCUCAACCGGGGAGGGUCAUUGGAAACUGGGAGACUUGAGUGCAGAAGAGGGGAGUGGAAUUCCAUGUGUAGCGGUGAAAUGCGUAGAUAUAUGGAGGAACACCAGUGGCGAAGGCGGCUCUCUGGUCUGUAACUGACGCUGAGGCUCGAAAGCGUGGGGAGCAAACAGG
rnacentral:rRNA from 1 species